AAUUCCUGAGCAAAACUUUCUGGAGUAGCUUUUCAACUUUAUAAAGGGAAAUUUCCACCGAAGGCGCAGAAAAAAAAAUGCUGGGACGUUAUCACCAAAAUUUUGUUCUGUCAUCCCUGUUUGGAUGCUUGGCUUGUCUUGUCGUGGCCUCUGUCGUUAGUGCAGACGGUCGGCUUUUCCUGUUGGACCUGAGGAACUCCUCUGACCUCCAGAGUUUCAGAGAUGCUGAGCGGGCUUGUGCCACCCAGCAUGCCCGCUUGGCAUCAGCAGAGGAGCUCCAUCAUGCUGUGGUAGAGUGCUCGUUCUCUGCAUGCACCCGUGGGUGGCUUUACGGGGGCACAGUGGGGACUACUGUGUGUAAUAUUGUGGGCAGCACACUGAAAGCUGUAGAUGUGAAAACAGAAAAUGCCACAGAGGACACCACGCACCUGGACGCCUUCUGUGUCAAAGACAAGGAUGUGCCUUGUGGCGACCCUCCAUCCUUUCCAAACACACGCCUCCAGGGGCACACAGGAUUUGAGAUGGGCGAUGAGCUGCUGUACACGUGUGUGCCAGGUUACGUCAUGCCCAGUGGGCACAAUGCCUUCAGCCUCCUGUGUGACAGCUGUGGAGAGUGGUAUGGACUAGUGCAGAUUUGUGUCAAAGAUGAGACUGAAGCUCAUGUAGACUAUGAGGACAAGUUCACAGAUGCCUACGGUGAGCCAGAGGACCACAACAAGAAGGGGAGACCAGAGGAGGCUCAUGGUGAGGUGUACGAGGAGGUGCAUGGAAUGGCACACACAGAGGAGAAGAGGGGUCAGGAGCAGGAGGACAACUACAGUGUAGAAGCAGGAGAAGAACAUCAGGACCAACAGGGAGAGGAGGAGGCAGGAGGAGAGGAGAUUUCUGUGGAUGAGGAAGAGGGUGGGAAAGUGGAGGGAGCUGUGAAAGAGGGGGAAGGGGAGGAGGAUCUGGCUGUUGAGGACUCUACAGCACAUCCAGGGUGGGAGCAGGAGAGGGAGGGGGUGACAAGAACAGAAGCACCCGUCUCACUGCUCUCCCAGAAACACCUCUUCUGGUUCCCUUCUGAAGCCUUCCAGGAUGAGGGACAUCCUGCCCCCACCGAUCCAAUCACACAGACCGCCUCUGAGGGUGAGAACCGAGUCAGAGCCUCAGGCGCCCAAUCAGAGGAGAGUAGAGAGUACGACAGCCAAGAAGCUCACUACCAGCAUCCUGUUGAUCCUGAUCACGAGCAGCACAGCUAUGGUGAUCAUGACAGCCACCAUGACGACCGGGAUGACCAUGACGACAGCCACCAUGAUGACCGAGAUGAUCAUUUGAAGCAUUACAUUCCAGCUCAACGCAACGACCUGGACAAGCACAGUCGCUAUGGAGAUCACGACGGCCAUAAUGACCACUAUGACAUGGGCGAACAUGAAGAUGAGCGGGAUCGCGUUCACUACGGCAGCCAGGGGGAAUAUGAUGAUCAAGAUGAGAGUUACAGUGAAGAUCAUGACCGUGGCAGCUAUACUGACCAUGACGAUGUGACUGAAGACCAUGAUGACACAGACAGAGAACAUCCAGACGGCUCAGAGGAACAUCCAGACCACGAUGACCAUGAUGAUGGUGAGAAACACUAUGGCCUGGGUGGAGAGGAAGACAGUAGAGACCGUUACGAUGAGUACGAUCACAGUGAUCAUGAACAUGAUGAUCACGACAGCUAUGAAAGCCAUCACAACCAUUAUGGCCAUGACGAUGAUAGUGAUGGUGACGGUCAUCAGCAUGUGGUCUUUUCUGUGGGCACAGAUGAACGACAGAAUUUCACCCUUGAGCGAGCAGGCGGAAAACCUACAGCCACUACAGAUGAGACCUGGUUGGACGGCUACCCUGUCAUUCCAGAAGAGGCGGAUAAAGGCGGCUCCACAGAAGAGGAGGGGGGACCAGAGGAUCAUGAGAGAGAAAUUAUUGUUGGGGUGACAGACAGACCGAAUGAUUUGGAAAUGAGUAGCUCCAUCCCUUACACCAGCUUCCCAGAGGCCACUGUGUCCGCCACCAUGGAGCCCAACUCUGAGCAGGACCGAGUUGAAGGUGUUUGGCCACACCUCCAUGCCUCUUCUCCCACCCCUGUCAGCACCGAGCCCUCAGACUCCCCCUCAUACCUCGACACCGAGGACUACGACACACAACAUGUAACUCCCACCAGUUCCUGGGUGGAGGAUGCUACCGAGCACCCCUUCCUUGAUCACGGCCCUGCCCCACCCAUGCACGAUGAUGACAUCAUCACUGGGACCAGAGGAAUGGAGGGGCACACUGAGCACAACCUGACUGGUCAGGUCGGGGAGAGGGGCGAGGUGGAGGGAGAGAUGGGUGAGACUAUGUGUAACGGUGAUGACUGCCCGCCCCAUCCUCCCACUUCCUCCAGCCGAGGUCCCACAGUGGCGGCCAUCAUUGUGGCGGUGUGUGCGGUUGCCACGGCAGUCAUCGUCGGGGCAUGGUGUUACCGGCGGCGACAGCAGAAGAGCUCUGUGUACGAGAUGAACGGGAAGGGCCAAAGUCAGAGCAGACAUGGCCAACAGAUAGAGAUGCAGCAGAAGGUGUAAGAGAGAGAUGGAGACAGAGGAAGAGGGAUGGACAGUGAAGGGCUGCAGAGACACUGGGGGGCGGAGGGAAGAACUGAUGCAAUGGAGCAUGGGGAAGGGAUUUGGAAAUGGGCCACAGAUUUGGAGGAUUUUGAAAGGAAAGUAUGGCCCCUCACCUUGUUAGACAUUACUGCAGAUCUCAAAGUUUUUGGAUAGGUAUAAAGUGAUGGGCUGUGCUACAAAGGAAGAACACAGGUGCUUAUUUACAUGCUGAGGGAGAUAUGUUAAAGCAUAAAUAAGAGUUCAGUCUUAACCAUUAGGUAAGGUAAGCAACUGCCUAGGGCCCCCCAAAAAACCACGGGCCCCAUAUAAUACAAACUGAAUUCAUGCCAAAAUGUUUUUUCACAUUUAUUAUAGUAAGCUCUAAUAACUUCAAACAAGCAAACCAACUUCAAUUGUAUUCUUGUUUGAAAUUGAACACCCCCUCUUCUCUUGCAAAUAUGGGCUUUUCCAUAUUUCAUAUUUCCCCUCUCUCACUGCGCAGAUACAAAUGAAAUGUGCUGGUAGCAGUGCAGAAAAAGUGCAGAACAGAAACAAAUGAAUUAGUCAGUUGAAGUUUAAUUACCAUAAUAAAUAUGAAAAUAUCUUAUUUGCCUGGAGCAGAAGAUGAUGUUUGGUGGCUUCCUCGGUGCCACACACUCCCACAGUACACUGAAACUGUGAAGGCAACAUUUUGUCCAGUGGCUGUGAUAAGGACAAAGGGUGUAAAGUGUGUGUGCAGAGGUGGGGGUGGGGGUGUGGGCAGGUCUUUGCCUAGGGCCCCAAAAUCACUAAAACCGCCCGUGGUAGUUGUGCUUCACCUACUUAUAGGUAAUAUGGAAUUUUCCCUAUCUCUGUUAUACCUAUCCAAUCAUUUUCAUAGCUCUCGUAUCGAGUUUGGGAGGUCGAGGGGUUGUUCCUGGACUCGACUCAGGCCAGGAGGCUAAAAAGGGAGACUGGUGGUCGGCUAACCACAGCAGAAGACAUACCCUCCUGAAAAUGAACUGAGACUUCAACCUCCAAAGCUCUUGGACAAUGUGGUACAGAUUCUUUUGUGUUACUUUGCUAUCAUUUUUGUUAUGCUGACUUCUGCCUGACUGCUCAGUUUAGUGUUGAUUUAGCUGUGUUGUUGUUCUCUAUCUCCGGACAGAGGACGUCUUUUCUGUUUUCGUUUCUGAAUAUUGUGUUUGUAAAAAAAAUAUAUAAUAAUAAUAAUUACUCUUCGUGUUACUCCAUAACAAGAGCCCAGAAGUUUAGAACACUUCAGAUCGUCGCAGCAAAUUUGGGAAGAUGGUCAGGAAUGAACAACCUGGAGGAAAAAAGAUAUUGACAAGGGAUAGGAGAGGUGCGAGAAAGAGGGAUGAUUGCUGGCGGGAGAAACAUUUUAAGACUUCCUGCCUCUAUUGGUUUUGACAUUCAGCCGGUGAGAGGUUUAGUGGGGGUGUCCAGACUGCAGACUCAGCCACUGUGUGUGUGUUUGUGUGUGAGAGAGAGAGAGUGUGCAUGUGUGUGUGUGUGUGUGUGUGUGUG